GCCUUCGGGUUGUAAACCUCUUUCAGCAGGGACGAAGCGCAAGUGACGGUACCUGCAGAAGAAGCACCGGCUAACUACGUGCCAGCAGCCGCGGUAAUACGUAGGGUGCAAGCGUUGUCCGGAAUUACUGGGCGUAAAGAGUUCGUAGGCGGUUUGUCGCGUCGUUUGUGAAAACCAGCAGCUCAACUGCUGGCUUGCAGGCGAUACGGGCAGACUUGAGUACUGCAGGGGAGACUGGAAUUCCUGGUGUAGCGGUGAAAUGCGCAGAUAUCAGGAGGAACACCGGUGGCGAAGGCGGGUCUCUGGGCAGUAACUGACGCUGAGGAACGAAAGCGUGGGUAGCGAACAGGAUUAGAUACCCUGGUAGUCCACGCCGUAAACGGUGGGCGCUAGGUGUGGGUUCCUUCCACGGAAUCCGUGCCGUAUCUAACGCAUUAAGCGCCCCGCCUGGGGAGUACUGCCGCAAGGUUA
rnacentral:rRNA from 1 species